rnacentral:rRNA from 1 species
GACGAACGCUGGCGGCGUGCUUAACACAUGCAAGUCGAACGAAGAGCGAUGGAAGCUUGCUUCUAUCAAUCUUAGUGGCGAACGGGUGAGUAACGCGUAAUCAACCUGCCCUUCAGAGGGGGACAACAGUUGGAAACGACUGCUAAUACCGCAUACGAUCUAAUCUCGGCAUCGAGGAUAGAUGAUAGGUGGCCUCUACAUGUAAGCUAUCACUGAAGGAGGGGAUUGCGUCUGAUUAGCUAGUUGGAGGGGUAACGGCCCACCAAGGCGAUGAUCAGUAGCCGGUCUGAGAGGAUGAACGGCCAAAUUGGGACUGAGACACGGCCCAGACUCCUACGGGAGGAAGCAGUGGGGAAUCUUCCGCAAUGGACGAAAGUCUGACGGAGCAACGCCGCGUGAGUGAUGACGGCCUUCGGGUUGUAAAGCUCUGUUAAUCGGGACGAAAGGCAUUCUUGCGAAUAGUGAGAAGGAUUGACGGUACCGGAAUAGAAAGCCACGGCUAACUACGUG